CGGACUCGCAAACGGCUUUCGCCUAUGUGUUCGUACCAACGAGUACUACGAGGAUAUGCUAAAAGAAUAAGUCCUACAUCUCUCAAACCGAUGGUCAACAGAAGUUAAAAACCUUGCCUCUAGGGCAUUUUCUUAAAUUCAUGCUUUUAAAAUUAAUAAAAACAUAAAAUUAGGGACGGAUUGUCACAAUAUAUCUUAUUUUUUAUUAUUGCCCAUGACAAGCCCAUUAUGAUUGAGCUCAAAUCUCUCACUCUAUUAGUGUUAAUAUAUCAUUGUAUUAAAAAAAUAUCUUAAUGCAUUGUGUAAUCUCAAAACAAACAACAAGAACAAUAAAGUCUGAUCCCACUGAGUGGGGUAUGUGGUUCAAAUUCGCGUUUGGCGAAAAUUGAACCUAAGACUUUUCACUUAUAAGUGAAUAAGAAUACCAUUAAACCAUAGUACAAGUGUAAUCUAAAAAACCAAAAAGAAAUUUAAACUUAAAAUUUUGUUGCUAGAUUAGGGUUAGGCAGGCCGAUAGGUGUAGCAGUCCCUUAAACUGGUGGAGGAGUAUUUCACUGAGAGAUGCCCAACCGCAGCAAAUCGGUAUUUGGGGAGUGCGACUUAAACCUGAACUUGGGCAUGCAAAAGCUAGUCGUUGACAAACACGGAAUCGGAAAGAAAAGUACUAUGACCUAGUUGAAGUUCAGCAGAAAACUCUUGCUUGCUCGUUUGCCCUAUGUGGUAGCUAGGGGUUGACGACCAUGUCCCACAAAUGGAUGGUUUUGCUAUGUUGGGACACAACUACAACCAAUCUUGUAUUUAGCUUAGGCUUGGCAAUUUCUGACACGAUCCGAUAACCCGACACGACACGAAAUUAACAGGUGUUCGGGUUGACACGAUAACGAAUCGGGUGUUAUCGAGUAACCCGAUAAGCACCUGUUAAGAAAACGGGUUGGUUUGGUUAUACACGUGGGUAACACGAUACAUGAUAAGCAGAAUAUUAAUUUAAUAAUUUUAUAACCCUAAAAAAUACUAUAA
rnacentral:lncRNA from 1 species